CCAAUGCUGACCAUCUUGACCAGAAUAGAAGAGGGAGGCAAAAUGUGUGUAUCCCUGAGCUGGAAGUUCAACCAGGCAGCUUUCAUGGGCUUCUUUCACACAAGAAGGCAAUAUCAAAAGAAAUGGAUGUGACUGCUUUACAUUAAUUUCUACUGAUCCCAUCCAAACAGACGAACAACUUGAUGCCUUCCUUUAAAAAAAAAAAAAAAUGACAUGUGGCCUUCAUAGGUUUUUUCCUUCCCCUUGAUGUAAAUCUCAAGUGUUUAAAAGGAGGAAUGAGUCUAAAUCAUAGAAAAUCUCUAUUUAGAUUGGGAUAAGCUAAUUAGCUAUUAUUUAUUGAUCCCUUGCUGUAAGUUAGACACUAUAUUCGAUGCUUUCAAUGUAUUAAAUCUGAUCCUUCUCUCAACCCUG
rnacentral:sRNA from 1 species